UGCACUUUCUUCUUCUUGCCCCGGUGGAGUUCUACUGGACAGGAGGGUGUCCAUUUCCCUGGUAAUUCAGCUGUUUUCUUCGUCCAAGUACGAGGCAUGUCGCCAUCACUCGAUCGGUCGUUGCCGGCGACGUACGAGACAACUUGGCUUACUCUUCUGCGUUGAGCUAGCGUAUGUGGGCGGUUGAAAGACCAAAUUGGCAAUGCAUCGAGUAACUUCAAGGAAAAAAAUUAGCGCGUUAUAUACAAUAGGAUCGUCUCUAAAAAUAUGCUACUAACGUGCUAUUGACGAGUAAUUGCAUGUUGGUUGCUUCAAUCAAACAAUUCUUCAGCGUGCUAUUUCUUUGAAUGAGUAAUUUACAACUUCUAUAAAGAUGGUUUGAAUCGGCAAUGAUAUAUGAGGUGCAUAUCUUGCGAGAAA
rnacentral:lncRNA from 1 species